UACGAAGGGGGCUAGCGUUGCUCGGAAUCGCUGGGCGUAAAGCGCACGUAGGCGGCUUUCUAAGUCAGGGGUGAAAUCCUGGAGCUCAACUCCAGAACUGCCUUUGAUACUGGAGAGCUUGAGUCCGGGAGAGGUGAGUGGAACUCCGAGUGUAGAGGUGAAAUUCGUAGAUAUUCGGAAGAACACCAGUGGCGAAGGCGGCUCACUGGCCCGGUACUGACGCUGAGGUGCGAAAGCGUGGGGAGCAAACAGG
rnacentral:rRNA from 1 species